ensembl:lncRNA
AAAAACGUGAUUUUUGAAAUUAAAAUAAAAAAAUAAAAUAAAAAUGAUCUGUUUUUGUAAAUGAUCUCUUCAAAUGAUCAUGAUUUAAAUUUUUUGGUGAACUAUUCCUUUAAAAAUGUCCUUAAUUUCAGUAAUGUAAAUUCAGUCAUCAUAAAUAUUUUUGACUUGAAUAAAUCAUAUUGAGAAAGCAGCGCUCCUUCUGAAGGUCCCUAACUUAACAUGCAAUAUUGACCUUGAAUGUGUAAAUAGAUACGAAUGAAUAUCGCUGAUAAAGAGCUUGAUUUAUAGAUCUGCUGAGUGGAGACUUUGUUUUGUGUAUUCACACCAGCACCUGGACGUGGUUUGAUGAAAUGCAGCUACAGACUCAGGUUAAGUACAAAUCUAAAGGGCAUGGCAGCGAGCCAGAUACCUGACUCUACCAAUGAGAGCCCUGCGUUUUCUAGUCCAUGCUGCAAGGGUACUUAAGAGAAGGGGCAUGACAAAACCAGCCGUUGUACCCAUUACUUACACGGUCUGUCACAGUAAAGCAUUCUGACUGGAUGUACUGUCAACUGCCAGGUGCCAAGACGCACAUUCACGAUUCACACCGAGCAGAAAAGUCUUUGAUAUGCAGAUCACUGCUUGUCAAAUGUGGCUUUUGUCUCGGCUGUGGCUGAUGGCUUGUCUUGUGCUUGUUGAAUUGGCCAUUACAAUGCCCAUAAAACAAACUACUGCCGGAAUUACCUGCGAUGGAAGGAAUCUGCUGGAUCAUCCGGCGAGUUGGAAAAUAAACUGGACAGAUCUACUAUACAUUCAAAGGAAAGCUUUUGGCUUGAGUUGCAGAAGGCAUGGGAUAACAUUAGUGUUGAAGUCCUCAGGAAAUAUAUUGACACUAUUCCUGAGAGAUGUGCUGCUGUAAAGGUGGACAUACCAAAUGUACAAAUGGAUAAAAACAGUACAACUCACUUCAUCUGAUAUUUGUUGUGCUCAGAGCAACCAUCUGCAUGUUUCAUGAACAUUAUGAAAUCAAAUCAUGUUUUGGAGGCAAAAAAAAUAUUUUCAGAUCUGUCAGGUGUUCUAAUAAAUUUGGCCACCAUAUAAUAUAACUUAAUAUAUAUUCAAUUAUAUUACAUUAACUUUUUAUUAAAUUUGAUAUUAUAUUAUAUUAUAUUAUAUUAAAUAUUUUUUUUUGAACUGUGUAAAAAAAUAUACGACAUAGAUUUCUUAAACAGCUGCUAGUUUCAUGUCUCUCAACCAUAUCAAGUCAAUUUAAAUCAAAUUUCAUAUCCAUUUAUUUAUUUAUUACAUAGUAGUAGCUAUGUAACAAGUAGGCUAAUGUACUAAUCUUGGUGUUAAUUCAAUAUAUUAGUAAAUUAGUUAUGUCAAUUGAUUAAUCGCAUCCAAAAUAUAAGUUUUCGUUUACAUAAUAUGUGUGUGUACUGUGUUCAUUUAUUAUGCAUUCAGUAUAUAAAUACACACACAUACAGUAUAUAUUUUCCAAAUUUACAUGUAUUUACAUAGAUGUGGUUAAUCGCUUGACAGCACUAGAAAAAAAAAAUUCUGUCAGUUUUUGCUCUUAUAUCAUGUUAGACGGUGUAGCUUACUGAGAGCACUGUUUGUUGUAAUGCAUUUUUUUCCUAUUCCAGAUAAAAGCACAGUUAGUCUUGUCAUGCUGCAUUCAGAAUUCAGCCCAUCACAAUGCGUCUGACACAAACAGUUCUCUUUGAGCUACUGUUGGAUUUAAAUUCCAAUCAAGUGACAUCCCUGACAGAAAACUACUUCAUUUCACAAGUUUAAAUGGGCAGCACAGCUUGCCUUUCUUCAGCUCUGCAGGUCUUAGUUGGCAGAGCAGCAACAUGAUCUGAAUAUUUACACAUGGCAGCAGAUGCUGCAUCUGAGGCUGCUUUUUCUUUAUAUGUGUGUGUUUCUAUAUCUAUAUAUAAGUGUGUGAGGUAAAGCCAAACUUCUUCAUGUGUGUUACUCAUGCAUAACCUUGAGGGAGAUAAAAGACCAUUAAUAAAGCACCAGACAGCCAGAGUGUGCAUUUUACGCUUUUCUAAACUAAACACAUGAGCAUCCGUUUUGGAAUGGUUUCACUGUCGCUCUGAAAUGUUUGCACUUACUGAAGGGGACAAAAUUGCUAGUUCAAAUACAUACAUAAUUAUAUAUCUAAACGUGUGUGUGUGUGUGUGUGUGUUGUUAUAUUGCAUAUUUGUAAUUUAUUCCUGCAAAACUGAGUUUUCAGCAUCAUUGCUCCAUACUUUAGUGUCACACAAUCCUUCAGAAAUCAUUUUAAUAUGCUGAUUUGCUGUUCAAGAAACAUUUGUAAUGUUUCUUUAAAAUAAUGAGUGUUACAUCACUAUCCCUAUUACAAAGAAGUACUUGCUGCUUUUCCUUUGCACUUACUAUAUUAAUUUUAAAAGCUAUUAUGUCUUUUAUUCAGAAACUUACAUGUCAUUAUCAGCUCUGUGUUUUCCUUUUAGAAGAAGAUGAGAGGAGCAAAGAUUUGACAGACAGCAACUGUAAGAUGGUGUAAUGUUCCCAGAGCGCGAUGCUUCCUUCCUUCUCUGAUGUGGACAGUGCAGCAGUUCCACUGGCUGCAACACAAGACACGAGCGGGAGUGAGAGGCAGCUCCCAUGUCCUGUGUUGCAGCCCCCGGCCCAGCCACAGGUCACCUUCAGCUCUUCUGCUUCUGCUGCCUUGCUGCAAAAAAAGAUAGAGAGGCACACACUGAGUGUAAAGGAGAGAAAGAGAGAAAGAAUGCUUCCAUGCCUUGAACACCACAUCCAUCACAAACACUGAAAAUAGCCUUCCUGUUUCAUCUGGUAUCGGAGUAGCCCUACCCCUCACGCAUGACCACGCCAGGGGAACGCAGCCACUCUGGCCCAAAUUGCUUAAAGUGAGGUUAAUGACAUCGUAAGGCACCUUCCAGCAAAGACAGAGAAUCUCUCGAGAGUCUUCCUCAGAUAUCGAACAAAGUCAGAGCAAAGCAUUUCUAUUUUUAUCACAG